rnacentral:rRNA from 1 species
GGUUACCUACGGGGGGCAGCAGUGGGGAAUAUUGCACAAUGGGGGAAACCCUGAUGCAGCGACGCCGCGUAUAGGAAGAAGGUUUUCGGAUUGUAAACUAUUGUCGUUAGGGAAGAUAAAAGACUGUACCUAAGGAGGAAGCCCCGGCUAACUAUGUGCCAGCAGCCGCGGUAAUACAUAGGGGGCAAGCGUUAUCCGGAAUUAUUGGGUGUAAAGGGAGCGUAGACGGUGAUGCAAGUCAGAAGUGAAAGCCCGGGGCUCAACUCCGGGACUGCUUUUGAAACUGUGAAACUGGAGUGCAGGAG